rnacentral:rRNA from 1 species
UACGUAGGGGGCAAGCGUUAAUCGGAAUUACUGGGCGUAAAGCGUGCGCAGGCGGUUUUGUAAGCCAGAUGUGAAAUCCCCGGGCUUAACCUGGGAAUGGCAUUGGUGACUGCACGGCUAGAGUGUGUCAGAGGGGGGUAGAAUUCCACGUGUAGCAGUGAAAUGCGUAGAGAUGUGGAGGAAUACCGAUGGCGAAGGCAGACCCCUGGGAUAACACUGACGCUCAUGCACGAAAGCGUGGGGAGCAAACAGG